rnacentral:rRNA from 1 species
CCUACGGGAGGCAGCAGUAGGGAAUAUUGCUCAAUGGGGGAAACCCUGAAGCAGCAACGCCGCGUGGAGGAUGAAGGUUUUCGGAUUGUAAACUCCUUUUGUUAGAGAAGAUAAUGACGGUAUCUAACGAAUAAGCACCGGCUAACUACGUGCCAGCAGCCGCGGUAAUCCGGAGGGGGCAAGCGUUACUAGGAAUCGCUGGGCGUAAAGAGCUCGUAGGCGGGAUAGCAAGUCAGAUGAGAAAGCCUAUGGCUUAACCAUAGAACUGCAGUGGAAACUGUUAUUCUGGAGUAUGGGAGAGGGAGGUGGAAUUCUUGGUGUAGGGGUAAAAUCCGUAGAGAUCAAGAGGAAUACUCAUUGCGAAGGCGACCUGCUAGAACAUAACUGACGCUGAUGCGCGAAAGCGUGGGGAGCAAACAGGAUUAGAUACCCUAGUAGUC